UCCGGUGGCGAUGGCGAAGGGGAACCACCUGUUCCCAUACCGAACACAGAAGUUAAGCCCUUCAGCGCCGAUGGUACUUGGCUGGUGACGGCCCGGGAGAGUAGGACGCUGCCGGAU
rnacentral:rRNA from 1 species